GACGAACCGUGCGAACGUUGUUCGGAAUUACUGGGCGUAAAGGCGCGUAGGCGGCCUGCUAAGUCGAACGUGAAAUCCCUGGGCUCAACCCAGGAACUGCGUCCGAUACUGGUUGGCUUGAAUCCGGGAGAGGGAUGCGGAAUUCCAGGUGUAGCGGUGAAAUGCGUAGAUAUCUGGAGGAACACCGGUGGCGAAGGCGGCGUUCUGGACUGCAACUGACACUGAGGAACGAAAGCCAGGGGAGCAAACAGG
rnacentral:rRNA from 1 species